AACGAACGCUGGCGGCAUGCCUAACACAUGCAAGUCGAACGAGACCUUCGUGUCUAGUGGCGCACGGGUGCGUAACGCGUGGGAACCUGCCCUUAGGUUCGGCAUAACUCCCCGAAAGGGGUGCUAAUACCGGAUAAUGUUUUCGGACCAAAGAUUUAUCGCCUUUGGAUGGGCCCGCGUUGGAUUAGCUAGUUGGUAGGGUACAAGCCUUCCAAGGCGAAGAUCCAUAGCUGGUCUGAGAGGAUGAUCAGCCACACUGGGACUGGGACACGGCCUAGGCGAGGAAGGGAUGCAGAAGAGGGGAAUAUGGGACAAAGGGCGAAAGACUGACCCAGCAAGGCCGAGGGAGUGAUGAAGGUCGUAGGGUUGUAAAGCCCUUUUAGAAGGGAUGAUAAUGACAGUACCGGGAGAAUAAGCACCGGCUAACUCCGUG
rnacentral:rRNA from 1 species